rnacentral:misc_RNA from 1 species
UGUUCAAUAUCAUGGAAAACAGACACAA